rnacentral:rRNA from 1 species
AUUGAACGCUGGCGGCAGGCCUAACACAUGCAAGUCGAACGAGUGGCGGACGGGUGAGUAAAGUCUGGGAAACUGCCCGAUGGAGGGGGAUACCUACUGGAAACGGUAGCUAAUACCGCAUACCAUCGGAUGUGCCCAGAUGGGAUUAGCUAGUAGGUGGGGUAACGGCUCACCUAGGCGACGAUCCCUAGCUGGUCUGAGAGGAUGACCAGCCCCAGUGGAACUGAGACACGUCCCAGACUCCUACGUGAGGCAGCAGUGGGGAAUAUUGCACAAUGGGCGAAAGCCUGAUGCAGCCAUGCCGCGUGGAUGAAGACGGCCUUCGGGUUGUAAAGUACGUACAGCGAGGAGGCGUUACUCGCAGAAGAAGCACCGGCGAACUCCGUGCCAGCAGCCGCGGUAAUUC